GGACGAACGCUGGCGGCGUGCCUAACACAUGCAAGUCGAGCGGAGACAGUGAGUAGCUUGCUACGAGCUGUUUAGCGGCGGACGGGUGAGUAACGCGUGAGCAACCUUUCCCAGACAGGGGAAUAACACACCGAAAGGUGUACUAAUACCGCAUAAGACCACGGGAUCACAUGGUUCUGAGGUAAAAGAUUUAUCGGUUUGGGGUGGGCUCGCGUCCGAUUAGCUAGUUGGUGGGGUAACGGUCUACCAAGGCGACGAUCAAUAGCCGACCUGAGAGGGUGACCGGCCACAUUGGGACUGAGACACGGCCCAAACUCCUACGGGAGGCAGCAGGUGGGGAAUAUUGCACAAUGGGGGAAACCCUGAUGCAGCGACGCCGCGUGAGUGAAGAAGUAUUUCGGUAUGUAAAGCUCUAUCAGCAGGGAAGAAAAUGACGGUACCUGACUAAGAAGCCCCGGCUAACUACGUG
rnacentral:rRNA from 1 species